rnacentral:rRNA from 1 species
UUUCCUACGGGGGGCAGCAGUGGGGAAUAUUGCACAAUGGGGGGAACCCUGAUGCAGCGACGCCGCGUGAGUGAAGAAGUAUUUCGGUAUGUAAAGCUCUAUCAGCAGGGAAGAAGAUGACGGUACCUGACUAGGAAGCCACGGCUAACUACGUGCCAGCAGCCGCGGUAAUACGUAGGUGGCGAGCGUUGUCCGGAAUUACUGGGUGUAAAGGGAGUGUAGGCGGGAAAGCAAGUCAGAAGUGAAAACUAUGGGCUUAACCCAUAGCCUGCUUUUGAAACUGUUUUUCUUGAGUGAAGUAGAGG